rnacentral:misc_RNA from 1 species
GAUGAAGAACGUAGCGAAAUGCGAUACGUAAUGUGAAUUGCAGAAUUCAGUGAAUCAUCGAGUCUUUGAACGCACAUUGCGCCCCCUGGUAUUCCGGGGGGCAUGCCUGUCCGAGCGUCAUUGCUGCCCUCAAGCACGGCUUGUGUGUUGGGCCUCCGUCCUCCUCCCGGGGGACGGGCCCGAAAGGCAGCGGCGGCACCGCGUCCGGUCCUCGAGCGUAUGGGGCUUCGUCACCCGCUCUUGUAGGCCCGGCCGGCGCUUGCCGACACAUCAAUCUUUUCAGGUUGACCUCGGAUCAGGUAGGGAUACCCGCUGAACUUAAGCAUAUCAAUAAGCGGAGGA